rnacentral:rRNA from 1 species
UACGGGGGGAGCAAGCGUUGUUCGGAUUUACUGGGCGUAACGAGCGUGUAGGCGGCCAGGUAAGUGGGGUGUGAAAACUGGAGGCUCAACCUUCAGACGUCGACCCAAACCCCCUGGCUAGAGUCCGGAAGAGGAGAGUGGAAUUCCUGGUGUAGCGGUGAAAUGCGCAGAUAUCAGGAGGAACACCAGUGGCGAAGGCGACUACCUGGCCUGUUCUUGACGCUGAGGCGCGAAAGCUAGGGGAGCAAACGGG